rnacentral:rRNA from 1 species
AUUGAACGCUGGCGGCAGGCCUAACACAUGCAAGUCGAGCGGAGCGGCGGAAGGGUGAUUAAUGCCUAGGAAUCUGCCUGGUAGUGGGGGAAAACGUCCGGAAACGGGCGCUAACACCGCAUAAUAUCAGAUGAGCUUAGGUCGGAUUAGCUAGUUGGUGGGGAAAAGGCCUACCAAGGCGACGAGCCGUAACUGGUCGGAGAGGAUGAUCAGUCACACUGGAACUGAGACACGGUCCAGAGUCCAACGGGAGGCAGCAGUGGGGAAUAUUGGACAAUGGGCGAAAGCCUGAUCCAGCCAUGCCGCGUGUGUGAAGAAGGUCUUCGGAUUGUAAAGCACUUUCAGCGGGGAGGCGUUACCCGCAGAAGAAGCACCGGCUAACUCCGUGCCAGCAGCCGCGGUAAUUC